rnacentral:rRNA from 1 species
UACGGAGGGGCUAGCGUUGUUCGGAAUUACUGGGCGUAAAGCGCACGUAGGCGGCUUUGUAAGUUAGAGGUGAAAGCCCAGGGCUUAACCCUGGAAUUGCCUUUAAGACUGCAUCGCUAGAAUCGUGGAGAGGUGAGUGGAAUUCCGAGUGUAGAGGUGAAAUUCGUAGAUAUUCGGAAGAACACCAGUGGCGAAGGCGACUCACUGGACACGUAUUGACGCGUGAGGUGCGAAAGCGUGGG